rnacentral:lncRNA from 1 species
GGCGCAGCGGCGCCUCUGGGCCGAGCACGCGCACCAGCGGCCUCCGCGCAGGCUCCGUGCCCGCGCACGCGCCCUCGCGUCGCGCUCCUGGCGGAGACACCUGCGCUCGGGCCCGGCUCCGGGCGGUUCUCCCGGUGCCGUUCCACCGGGACUUCCGCGCUUCGGCGGCCUUUCUGACGAGCCGCGGCGCCCGGAGAUGUUCAGGUUGGAGCGACACUUCCCAGAGGGCAGCGGUCACGCCAGAUCUUCGGCUUCCAUUCCGUUUUCGCGCGGUUCUCCCUCUUCGCAAGUGAUGUCAUUCUGACUGCAGUCACCACUGUCGGGUUGUGAUUAAACUCUGAUGACCUAUGAGAGCACCAUGAUGGUCUUCCAGGUAUAGAGAAGCUGGUUUAUCUGAGACCCCACUGGCUUUCUGUUGGCUCCCAUAGGCUUGGAUGCUGCUGCCCCAUGCAUGACCGGUGAUGCUUGUCCUGGGUUGUCUGAAGGUGCUCGUUGCACUGCUGCCAGGGGUGCUGGGUUCAUAGGUGUCACUAUCCCUGCCAGGGACCUGGAGAACUAUAUGUAUCUCCAGCUGAGCUGGUGUUGGGGGGUGCCACCAGUGGGGGCUAGGUCACCAGAUCUGCUGUGUUUCCUGAAGCCUCUGGUCACAGGUUCCACCUGCCAGUGCUGGGGCAAAGGGGCUAUUUCUUCUGCCCCCACCCAGUUUGCUCACAGUUGUGUGGGCCAGGCCACCUCCACUGUGCCAGCAGUCACACAGGCCAGGCUGCCACCAUCCAUG